rnacentral:rRNA from 1 species
UACGUAGGGGGCAAGCGUUGUCCGGAAUCAUUGGGCGUAAAGCGCGUGUAGGCGGUUCGGUAAGUCUGCUGUGAAAGUCCAGGGCUCAACCCUGGGAUGCCGGUGGAUACUGUCGGACUAGAGUACGGAAGAGGCGAGUGGAAUUCCUGGUGUAGCGGUGAAAUGCGUAGAUAUCAGGAGGAACACCUGUGGCGAAAGCGGCUCACUGGACCACAACUGACGCUGAUGCACGAAAGCUAGGGGAGCAAACAGG